AUGCGCGAUGAUCAUCGCUUCCCCGGAUGGCCGACAUUUGAGUACAGGGAGAUGGAAAGUCCUGUUGAGGCUCUACAGGACGUUGCUAAGUCCUCUUCUGCAUUCCUAUAUCCAGCUCUGGCCCUCCUGUUACAGGAACGAUACCAUCAUACGGUUGAGGGUAGAGAAACUAUUCAAUGGAAUGAUGUGGGAAGUGUUAGCAAAUCUCCAGGCUUCAGGCACAUCUGUGACUAUGGAUCAUACAGCUAUCUCAUCAAGGCAUCCAAGUUAAGGAUGCAUCUGCAGCCAGUAUCUGGUACGGAUGAGAUCGACGAUGAAGUUUCCCUCUCGUUGGUUCCCUCACUAACGACUGCAUGGCUAGCCUGGGGUCCAUGUCGUUUUGGAUCUGAUCAGCUCGAAAAUAGUGUUGCUGCCUUGGUACUCCAAAAGGUGGAUAUUCAAAUUCACCACCUGAACAUUUGUGGCUAUUCCAGAAUUAAUCGUUUCCCAGAUACGUUUGACGAUGCAAUGUUGAAGCUGUUGUAUUUUGUACCCAACGAGUGUGUUCUGCUGUCAGUGACACCAUCUUCCCCCACACUUUAUGGCUUAACCUCAUCCUGUAAACCAAGCAGCACUGAUGGUUCUGUGAUCUUUGGUUGUCUGGCAAUGGACCAUUCCCUGGACGCCACCAAGGUGACGUGGAAGAAAGAAGGGAAGCCGAUCACGACUGGAUUGAAGACUUAUCCAUCAGCGAGAAACAAGAAGGGAACUUAUACCCUGAGCAGCCAGUUAACUGUGACUGAGUCAGUAGAUUGCAACAAAAUCUACUGUGAAGUUCAGUACAAAGAGUCAGAGAAGAGCGUUAGAAUGCCAUGUCGAGAUAUUUUACAUCCAACUCUUCUUCUAACUGUGAGUUCAAGCGAAGAAAUCGAGAGAACCAAAAUUGCAACCCUCGUCUGUUCAAUCACAGAAUUCCAUCCUAAGCAAAUUUCCGUGACUUGGUUGAAGAAUGGACAAACCAUAGAUUCUGGUAUCUUCACCUCUCCCGUGUGCGAAACCAGCGGGAACUUCUCUUCGACUAGUCAGCUAAGAGUCCCUUAUAGUGAAUGGUUCAACAGUGCAGUCUAUACGUGCAAAGCCAUGCACGAAGAGGUCAUUCAAAGUCGAAACAUCACCGGACCACAGGAGCGUGGUGAUCACACAAUUAAAAUACUACCACCACCGGUAGAACAGGUCUUACUGGAGGAGACAGUGACGUUAACCUGCGUUGUGUACAGUCUUCCUUUUGGAGUCAACGUCACCUGGACACAAGGAAGGAAGCCUUUGAAAUCAGAGAUUACUGAGCAAGCAGGAGACGACCCCGACAGUGUGAUCAGCAAAUUAGACAUUUCUACUGAAGCCUGGCUGAGUGGGGAUUAUUUCUACUGCGUGGUGAACCAUCAGUAUCUACAAACUCCUUUGACAGCUUCCAUCCACAAGGAGCAAGCGAAAAAUCCACUGGAACCGUCAGUGUCUGUCCUCCUGCCACUGGCAGAAGAAAUCUCCGCUCAGAGGUUUGUCUCCCUCACCUGUUUAGUUAGAGGAUUCUCCCCCAGAGAGAUGAUCGUCAAAUGGACAACCAAUGACAAGCCGGUGAAUCCCAGUAACUACAAGAACACCGAGGUGAUGGCAGAGAAUGACAACACCUCCUUCUUCAUGUAUAGCCUGUUAUCCAUUACAGCGGAGGAGUGGGCCGGCGGUGCUUCUUACUCCUGUGUGGUGGGACAUGAAGCGAUUCCAUUGAAGAUCAUCAACAGAACAGUUGAUAAAUCCAGCGAUACUAUAGAUCACACCAGGAUUGAAGACAAUGAGGAUGAUAAUGGAAACAUGUGGACGACUGCUUCCACAUUCAUCACCCUGUUCUUCCUGAGUAUUUUCUACAGUGCUGCAGUCACUCUGGUGAAGUUAUCAAAAGUGCAUCUCUUCCUCUUCAUUUCCUUGAACUUCUGUCACGCUUGCAGCUUCUUCAGCUGGAUUCAAACCACACAAAACUCCCCAAUGAAUUUUGAGCCAAUCGCCUUCACCACGAAGCCACAACUACAGAACGUCGCUGCCCAUGUGCUUUUCCUCUUCUCUCUCCUCGUGGAUCUGAGGAACAGUGAAUCUUUGCUGGAUUUGUUUGAAUCCAUUCGCUUCACAAGUCUAUGA